AUUGAACGCUGGCGGCAGGCCUAACACAUGCCAGUCGAGCGGAUGAAGGGAGCUUGCUCCUGGAUUCAGCGGCGGACGGGUGAGUAAUGCCUAGGAAUCUGCCUGGUAGUGGGGGAUAACGUCCGGAAACGGGCGCUAAUACCGCAUACGUCCUGAGGGAGAAAGUGGGGGAUCUUCGGACCUCACGCUAUCAGAUGAGCCUAGGUCGGAUUAGCUAGUUGGUGGGGUAAAGGCCUACCAAGGCGACGAUCCGAAACUGGUCUGAGAGGAUGAUCAGUCACACUGGAACUGAGACACGGUCCAGACUCCUACGGGAGGCAGCAGUGGGGAAUAUUGGACAAUGGGCGAAAGCCUGAUCCAGCCAUGCCGCGUGUGUGAAGAAGGUCUUCGGAUUGUAAAGCACUUUAAGUUGGGAGGAAGGGCAGUAAGUUAAUACCUUGCUGUUUUGACGUUACCAACAGAAUAAGCACCGGCUAACUUCGUG
rnacentral:rRNA from 1 species